rnacentral:rRNA from 1 species
ACUACCGAUUGAAUGGUUUAGUGAGAUUUUUGGACUGGAACUCUCUUGUUCAGCAAUGAACGAGAGGGACUCUGGGAAGCUAUUCUAACUGUAUCAUUUAGAGGAAGUAAAAGUCGUAACAAGGUUUCCGUAGGUGAACCUGCGGAAGGAUCAUUA